rnacentral:RNase_P_RNA from 1 species
CGGAGCCAGCUGGCGGCUACGGGGGAUUAACCCCCCGAGGAAGCUCCGCCCUCCGUGCGGCACGGGGACCCCGUAAGGGGUGCGGGGAGACCCGCGGCAACGGCACAGAAACGGCACGGCCGCCCUCAAAUGUCGAUGAGGCGGUGAGGACGGUCCGGCAACGGACCGUCAGUAACCCGCUGAUGUAUGGGGGCGGAUGCGUUGAAACGGCCGACCCCCCGGGAGCAAGGCCGAGCAGCACCGAUGAGAGCCGCACGAGGUGCGGGUAGGCCGCAUAGCCCAAUGCCGCCGUAGUACAGAAGGCGGGCUAUAGCUGGCACCG